UACGUAGGGUGCGAGCGUUGUCCGGAAUUAUUGGGCGUAAAGAGCUCGUAGGCGGUCUGUCGCGUCUGCUGUGAAAACUCGGGGCUUAACCCCGGGCCUGCAGUGGGUACGGGCAGACUAGAGUGCGGUAGGGGUGACUGGAAUUCCUGGUGUAGCGGUGGAAUGCGCAGAUAUCAGGAGGAACACCGAUGGCGAAGGCAGGUCACUGGGCCGCAACUGACGCUGAGGAGCGAAAGCAUGGGGAGCGAACAGG
rnacentral:rRNA from 1 species